UCUGGUGACAAUAGCGAAGAGGUCACACCUGUUCCCAUGCCGAACACAGUAGUUAAGCUCUUCAGCGCCGAUGGUAGUUGGGGCCUUGCCCCUGUGAGAGUAGGACGUCGCUAGGC
rnacentral:rRNA from 1 species